UGCGUAGGCGGUUGGGUAAGUCUGACGUGAAAUCUUCGGGCCUAACCCGGAAACUGCGUUGGAUACUAUUCAGCUAGAGGAAUGGAGGGGAGACUGGAAUACUUGGUGUAGCAGUGAAAUGCGUAGAUAUCAAGUGGAACACCAGUGGCGAAGGCGAGUCUCUGGACAUUUCCUGACGCUGAGGCACGAAAGCCAGGGGAGCAAACGGGAUUAGAUACCCCGGUAGUCCUGGCCCUAAACGGUGCACGUUUGCUGUAAGCGGAAUCGACCCCGCUUGUGGCGUAGUUAACACGAUAAACGUGCCGCCUGGGAAGUACGGCCGCAAGGUUAAA
rnacentral:rRNA from 1 species